UUCUGGGAGUUGUAGCCCAAAACACCUGGGGACCCCAGGUUGAGAACCACUGUGUUAAGACAUCUUGUAGAAAGAUGUGUAUUAUUUUACAUGUUAUUUUCCACCCAGAAUGCACUAGCAUUACUAGCUAGAAAUCCCAUUAGAAACUGACUUUGGUAAAAUCACCCAGAUUUUUACUGCUUAUGGCCUUUUAUAGCUAAUGCAGGUUGAGUAUUUCAUAUUCAAAAUGAUUGGAACAGACGUGUUUGUAUUUUGGAUGUUGUGCAUAGCACAAGUUUUGUGUACUUUGAAGCCUCAGAAAGCGAAGAUGCCAAUAUUUUGGUCACUCGUGGACAAUUUUUGGAAUUCUGGAUAAGAGGCAACAAAUUAUAGGUACUGUAGGCUCUAUUCUUGAGGAAGUAAAUGGGAAACCCACCUCUGAGUAUUUCCUUCUUAAGAAAACCCAAUGUAAUUUAUGGGGUUGUCAUAAGUGGAUAGGCACACGCGCACACAGACACAUACUAUUGGGUAUAAACAGCUAAAAACUCAACAUCUGGAUGGUGCUCUUCCAGAACUAGCAUGGGCCUUGUCUUACCUGUCAAGUCAGUUCCUAUGUUUACAAUGGUCUUGGGCUGUAAGUGUCCUUCAGAAGCAGGCAAGUGGAAGGUGCCCAAAUAAAUACUGUGUGAUGUCCAUCAUGAGCUUAAAAUUCAUUUGGCAUACAUUGUUGUUCUUUGGUCAGGGUAGGUGAGUUUAUAUUUCCCAGAGAGACAAUUGAAGCCAUGUUACUUCUGAUUAAUUUGAAUGACUUGUUUAGAGGAGAAUUGGAUGAAACAGACAAGGCAGUUUACAUUGCUUUCUCUGUCCUGAAGGAAGCUUGGGAAAUUAAGGCUGCACUAUAUCUCUGGCUUGUGUCCUGUGGAGAGAUUCCUAGAAGCUGCUAUUAAUUAAGGGUACACCGAAAUGAAUAUUGACUGUGUAGUUCUGUGCAUAAUGAGACAGAACUAAAUCCUGCUGAGUGCAGUGGGAUUUCUUUCUGGGUAUAUGCAGAAUUUUUUUUAUUUGUAUCCUACCCUAUAUCUGAGGAUCUCAGGGUAAUGUGCAAUGAAAUCAAUUUGGAGCAAUUUAAAACAAUAAUAUUUUUAAAAGACUAUGAAUAUAUAUAAAGCCAUUCAUCUCUUAUGAUAAUUUAAAACAAAUGUAAAUAAUGUAAACUAUAAACUGUGUGCAAAUGGGAUUAAACCAUUUCAGCUCCGAAGACUUUAAUUAAAAAUGUUUUGACUUGGCACCAGUUGGGCAUCUGAUGGAAGAGUGCUAUGAUGGGCCUGCCUUAGCUAAGAAAGUUUUUCCAAAUGACCUCCUGUUACCUCAACCACUCAAAGGUGCAUCUUUCUCUGAUUUUAAGAGAAAAUGUUUAUUUUGGGGGGAAAAAUAAAAUGCAAAGGAUAAAAGGGAAUAGGAAAGAAAAUAGGCACAGUUACAUUUACUUUUGUAGGUAAAACUGUUGGAAAUAGCAACCUUCUCAAACCUCCAUCAGUUAUUUGUUAUGUAUAUAAUUCAGAUUGCUUAUUGUAUUGCAUAUGUGUGUAUUGGUUUGCAGUUUUUCUUUAAUUCUUUGAUGUGGGAGGGGCUGCAGAACUUGUGAUCAGAUCUGGGUUUGUUCAGAGCUCAGACUCCAUUUCAAAGCAACCAGUAUCUUCAGUUUAGACUUCAGUAGGAACAGACUAGACCGAGACUCUAUUAGACUCUCAGAACAGAGAGAUGCUUAGAUUAUGGAGUGUUGACUAUGAGAAAGAUGUCCUGUGUUACCUAAACAGAGAAACUACUUCAAAUCUACUUGUAACUGGAUUGUUAUGCAAAGUACCUGUGUGCUGAAUAUAUGAAGUUUGUGAGUCCACAGUUUAUUUUCCACUUUGGUGGGACAAGAAGAGAGCCCCUCCAAAAGAUUUCAAUUCUUGGUUUGAAGCUUGAGCUUUUCCUUUUCUGAAAUGGCCAAGGAAUCUUAUAGCACCUUUGAAGCUAACAGAAAACAAAGUUUGUUAACAUGAGCUUUUGUAGAGUGUGCCACUAGACGCUCUAUUUGCAAGAGCAUUAUAACUGUGUAAUUGUAUGAUCGCAGCGGAAAAGGUAGAAAAAAUUAAACAACACUCAUGUGCUGUGCAGGGUGGACAUGGAUAGGUAGGGGCCUUUAUUGAGGCAGUGCCACAGAGUCAUUGUAAAAAUGUGCAUUACCAAAGCAGCACCGUAGCAUGGUUGGAGGAAGGUGUAAAAGUGAUACUGUAGUUUCCAAACUGCAAUUUUUCUGCUUGCUUAAACACUGUGAAUGCUGUGUAAUAAACUCCUGUUAUAGAUGGGAUCAACAAGUAGCUUGAGGCCCAUGUGUACAUACAUCUGUAUGAGCUGGGAAUCCCUGAGCAGGGAGGGAGUCUUCUUGUGCAGCAGCCUUGGUCAACAGAGGCAGUGGUGAGUAAUGCUAGGAGUUGCAUGUGGAAGUCUGCAUGAUUCCUAUUCUGAUCUACAUACAAAGAAAUUUCUCCCUUUGCACUCAUGUCUAAUGGCACAUUCAAAGGAUGAUCUGCAGUUAUAAAAAGUAUAGUCCAGUGGAAGGCUAUGUGGAGUUCAAUGUGAGCCGCAACUCUAUGCAGGUUGAUAGGUUUUAUAUAGGAUAGGCCUCAUUUAUAGCAUGAAUAGUUAACAAUUCCUGGUGAAACAAGAUGUAGUGUAAAGUUCUGCCACACAGAACCACACAAUACUUUCUCCUAUAUGUCUUCCACACCCACCUUUUGGGAGUUGAACUAUUGUAUCUCCCUCCAACACAUACAUUUACUGAAGGAUGAUGCCACUGCUGUGAGCUCAGCUUAAGAAGCAUAGCUAGACAUUUCUCCGGUGCCUUCUCAUCACUCUCCACCAGCCAGUAAAUGGCUGUUGGGGGACAUGCAGCAUUUACAGGCUGGUGGAGAGUGGAGAGAAGACACUGGAGAAAUGUCUAGCUAUGCUCUUUGAGCUGAGCUCACAGCAAUGGCACCAUUCUUCAGUAAAUGUAUGUUUUGGAGGGAGAUCCAACAGCCCAGUUUGUAAAUAACCCCUGCAUCCCUUCAAAUCCCUUUUCCAAUCUUCGUUCAGGGCAGAGAAUUACUCCCUGAGUACCUAGAAAGUUACCUGUGCAGUGCUCUUCCUCAAAACAAAUAUAUUCAAAAUGUACAGAAAUUUGCUUUAAAAGCCACCUGGAAAUGAAAAUUAGAACAUUUCUGUUUACUGUUGGAACUUGUGUUCAGCUGAUUUGCCAGAGAAAGUCAGGAGCUGCAGUGCAUUACAGGGGGAGUGGGGGGGGGGGGGUGAAACUUGGCCUCAUUGGCAGUUUCCAUUGCCAGCCUGGCUUGUCUGUGUAAACAUGUAAUAUCUGGAAGGGAUUCCUAUGUACAGGCAGUCCUCGAGUUACAAACAUCUGAUUUACAAAUGACUCAUUGUUAAGAAUGAGGGUGAGACUGAGAGGGACGUGGGUUUAAAAAGAAUUUUCAAAGAUACUUGUAAUGACUAUAAGUCCCAUAUGUUUUGAUUGACCUAAGUUGCAAUAUGUUUGAGGAAAGUCUGCGCUUGAGAGAAAAUGCUGAUGUUUGAGAAAAGAGUUGUUCCAGACAAAAGACUUUCAAAUAAUAACAAUACAUCAAGUCAGAACCGCUUCCCGUAUGAUUUCGAGCUUAUACUUGCAACAAGUCAGGGUCAAUAACAUGAAAGCACCAUUGUCUAAAGAAUCACAUGUUGUUACAGCAUAGAAAACCAAUGGGAUUGCAUGGUGGUUAAGAUGCUUGUGACGUAGCCAACAUUAGACGAAUGGGGUAAAUGAUCUUUGUAAGCCAAUAAGGAUAUGCUUGCUAAUUUCUGUGGAGGUGAUAAAAACCCUUGCAACCUUUUUGGAAAUUCGGACAAAUCCUUUGAUUGCAUGUAUGCAUGUAUUUGUCACAUUGCUAUGGCCAUGCAAUAAAUACUUCUUUUGCAGUUUGAAGAUCCAACUUUCAUUGUGUUUUUUCCUGGAGAAAAGGGGUCUGCACUGAAGCUUUCUCACUAAUCCUUGUUUCCGUAACAAGCCGAAUUAUUCAGAAUCCAGUUAUCACAGGGACAAACAAUGAGAUGAAAUCUUCUGAACGGGGGCACAGACAGCAAAACAGACACCAUAGGUGUGUUAACCCUUCCCUUUGCUACCCCAAGCUAAAAUAUCUAUUUUUGGCUGGAUUUUCACUUAAAAAUGUACUUGUUCCGACUUCUAAGAACCAAUCUAAGAACCUAUCUUGCUCGUAACUUGGGGACUGCCUGUAUUUCAUAGUACAGUGUUCCCCCUCUACUUUGCAGUUCACUUUUUGCGGACUCGUUAUUUCGCAGGGAAACUGAGGUAUGUUUAAACAUUAUUUUAAUUGUUAUGUGGUCUUUCGCCCCCUUGCAAGCCCCGGGGAGCUAGUGAACCCUUCCCUAACAGCGCCGGCUGGGCCCUUACUCUGGGCCGCCAUGUUGCCCUGGCUGCUUCCCUGCGGCCAGGGAAGAAGGAACGCUGCUCCAGCCGGAUGAGUGAGCGAUGGAGGGUGGGUGAGAGAGUGAAGGCCGGCGGCGGCAGAGAGAGCCUGAAAGAGGUGGCCAAGUCUGGCUUCUGCCUCUGCUCAAGCCGGGCCAUGCCAGGAAACUCCCAUGGAGGACUCGGAAGAGGGAGCGGGAACCAGGACUGUAUUCUUCUCUGAAGCAGAUUUGUGGACUGAGAAAGGACUAUUUAUGACUGUGGACUUUUGUAAAUGAUCACAGGGACCAUUGUGAAUACUACUGUUUUUGAUCUCUUGGCAUCAGUAAAGUUCCUGUAUUUUGUUCUGCAAACCUGGGUGGCAUGUUAUUGUUCUGCGAGUGACUCUGGAUCAUGGGCACACGUAAUAGCUUCCAUUUAUCAUCAUCAAUCCGCUACACAAAUCACUAUCACUCCCUAAUGCUAGGAUAGGAAUCCUCCAACUCUACAGACGAUUUUGGACUGCAGUUUUCAUUACUUGGAGACUUCCUGUGCUCCUGUAUUGAAUCACAUAACUCAAUGCCAUCUCCAGAGUGUUGCUAGAAACCUAGCUGUGUGUUUCUGUCUGGACUGCUUCUGUUUCAGCUCUGCCUAUCUGAGAUUGUUUUUUUCUGCUGCUUUGGGGAAAUCAGUUUCCUGUUCAAAUUCUAAAAACUAAAAAAAAGUGUGUGUGUGGGGGGGAGUCCUGAUAAUGUAGUGCUGUGGAGGCUAAAAUAUAUGCAUGUGAGUGUUUGCUACAUCUCCGGUGUUUAGGCAGCUCGCUCUCUCUAGCCCACUUGCCUUUCUGUUUCAGUGAUGUGCCUGUGACUUGCAUUUGUAAUGAUCCAGCAGAAUAUAAAAACCGUCCACCAUGACAGUAAUUUAUAACACAGGAGGAUGUUUCAUUCUCCAUAAAUCCCUUUGCACCCUCAGGCAUUGGAGAUGUAGAAUGGGAUCACAAAAUGAUGAAGAUGCAUCUGUCUGUAACCCUUCUGCAAUGAAUAUUAUCCAUUUAGGAAAGUUUCUUCUCUUGGUUGCAAUGCAUUUUGUACUCUGCUCAGUAUCUCUGUGGCACUAUGCCGUAAGUGUACAUUCUUUUGGUGUAAACAACUUAAGCUGGACUGUGGCCAAAUUGCACAUUAUACUGUGAGUUACAUGGAUUACCUAUCAUCGCCCCAGGGCUUUCAUGAAAACUAAAUGUAGUCUUGGAAGGUGAAUCUUGAAAUGUAAGAUGCACACAGAAGGGAUUUCUUAACUCUUUCUUCUCCAUCUGAAAACAGUCAAUCUGGGUGAAUCAAUAGUGCACAGUUGCAGCAGUAUAACUGUACAUGUGAACUAAGCAGUUACAUCAAUCUAAACUUUUACCUCUAUAUUACAGAUUGUUGGAAUUUGCAGUUUAGUGAAAGUAUCUAACAUUGUUGAGUGCACUCUUCCUACUAUAGUACUAGAGCUGCCAGAAUGAAAAUUCAGGGUACUUCACAGAUCUAAUUACACAUUCCAGGGGGUCCAUAGGAUCAUAGAAUCAUAGAAUAGUAGAGUUGGAAGAGACCUCAUGGGCUAUCCAGUCCAACUCCCUGCCAAGAAGCAGGAAAUCGCAUUCAAAGUACCCCCAACAGAUGGCCAUCCAGCCUCUGCUUGAAAGGCACCAAAGAAGGAGCCUCCACCACACAGGGCAGGGAGUUCUACUGCCAAACAGCCCUCACUGUGAGGAAGUUCUUCCUAAUGUUCAGGUGGAAUCUCCUUUCCUGUAGUUUGAAGCCAUUGUUUCGCGUCCUAGUUUCCAGGGCAGCAGAAAAUAAGCUUGCUCCCUCCUCCCUAUGACUUCCCCUCACAUAUUUAUACAUGGCUAUCAUGUCUCCUCUUGGCCUUCUCUUCUGCAGGCUAAACAUGCCCAGUUCUUUAAGCCGCUCCUCAUAGGGCUUGUUCUCCAGACCCUUAAUCAUUUUAGUUGCCCUCCUCUGGACACAUUUCAGCUUGUCAACAUCUCCCUUCAACUGUGGUGCUCAGAAUUGGACACAGUAUUCCAGGUGUGGUCUGACCAAGGCAGAAUAGAGGGGUAGUAUGACUUCCCUGGAUCUAGACACUAAACUUCUAUUGAUGCAGGCCAAAAUCCCAUUGGCUUUUUUCACCGCCGCAUCACAUUGUAGGCUCAUGUUUAACUUGUUGUCCACGAGGAAUCCAAGAUCUUUUUCACAGGUACUGCUGUUGAGCCAGGCAUCCCCCAUUCUGUAUCUUUGCAUUCCAUUUUUUCUGCCGAAGUGAAGUAUCUUGCAUUUGUCCCUGUUGAACUUCAUUUUGUUAGUUUCGGCCCAUCACUCUAGUCUGUUAAGAUUGUUUUGAAUUCUGCUUCUGUCUUCUGGAGUGUUAGCUAUCCCUCCCAGUUUGGUGUCAUCUGCAAACUUGAUGAUCGUGCCUUCUAACCCUUCAUCUAAGUCGUUAAUAAAGAUGUUGAACAGAACCGGGCCCAGGACGGAACCCUGCGGUACUCCACUCGUGACUUCAUUCCAAGAUGAAGACGACGCAUUGGUGAACACCCUUUGGGUUUGUUCACUUAGCCAAUUACAGAUCUGCCUAACCGUAGUUUUGUCUAGCCUACAUUUUACUAGUUUGUUUGGCAGAAGGUCGUGGGGGACUUUGUCGAAGGCCUUACAGAAUUCCAGGUACGCGACAUUCACGGUGUUCCCUGUAUCGACCCAACUCGUACCUCUAUCGAAAAAAGAGAUCAAAUUAGUCUGGCAUGACUUGUUUUUGGUAAAUCCGUGUUGACUAUUAGCAAUGACCGCAUUUGUUUCUAAGUGUUCACAGACCACUUCCUUAAUGAUCUUUUCCAGAAUCUUGCCUGGUAUCGAUGUGAGGCUGACCGGACAGUAAUUGUUUGGGUCGUUCUUUUUUCCCUUUUUGAAGAUAGGGACCACAUUCGCCCUCCUCCAAUCUGCUGGGAUUUCUCCUGUUCUCCAAGAACUCUCAAAUGAUUGCCAGUGGUUCUGAAAUAACUUCAUCUAGUUCCUUCAAUACCUGGGGACUUGAAUUCGUUUAGAGCGGCCAGGUGUUCCUCAACAAUUUGUUUCCCUAUUUGGGGUUGGAUUUCCCCUAAUCCUUUGUCCAUUCCUUGUUGCUGAAGUUGAAGAUGGCUUUCUUUUUGUGAGAAGACUGAGGCAAAGAAGGCAUUAAGUCGUUCUGCCUUUUCUCUGUCCCUUGUCACCAUCACCCCAUCUUCUCCUCGCAGAGGCCCUAUUGCCUCCUUGUUCUUCCUUUUUCUACCAAUGUAAGCAAAAAAGCCUUUUUUGUUGAUUUUAAUGUCCCUGGCAAGCCUGAGCUUAUUUUGCGCUUUAGCCUUGCAAAGCUUUUCCCUACAAGAGUUGGCUAUACAUUUGAAUUCUUCUUUGGUGAUUCUCCCUUUUUCCACUUCUUGUGCAUGUCUCUUUUGAGUCUUAGCCGGGUUAGAAGUUCUUUGGACAUCCAUUCUGGCUUCUUCACACUUGUCUUAUUUUUUUUCUUUGUUGGCACUGUUUGCAUUUGUGCCUUGAGUAUUUUACUUUUAAAAAACUCCCAUCCAUCCAUAACUCCCUUGUCUUUUAAUAUUGGCGUCCAUGGAAUGCUGCUCAGUAUUUCCUUCAUUUUUUUGGAAGUCAGCUCUCUUAAAGUCCAGAAUGCCUGUUUGACUUGUCUUAUUUUCAGCCUUUCUUUGUAUGGCAAACAUCAGGAGCACAUGGUCAUUUGCCCCUAAGGAUCCAACCACUUCGACUGUAUUGAUCAGGUCUUCCACAUUUGUUAAGAUUAGAUCAAGAGUAGCUGAUCUCCUUGUUGCCUCUUCUGCCUUCUGGACCAUAAAAUUGUCUGCAAGGCAAGUGAGGAAUUUGUUCGACUUUGUACUCUUGGCUGAGUUUGUUUUCCAGCAGAUAUCGGGAUAGUUGAUAUUGCCCUUUCAACUAGAACAACUAUAUGACAGAGAGGGAAUGGUAAGAGAAAAUAAAAUUAAACAAUGGCUUGGAGAAGAAAAUUGGUUACAGAUAAGAGCAAUCUGUGCAUAUUGCAAAAUAAAAGAAAAUAUUAAUAUGGUUAAGAGAGAAGAUAAGCCCUUUGAAAAGAUAAUAAGAGAAAAGGGGGAAGGAAAGAAGGCACAGGCCAGCAAAACAUAUACAAUGCUCAUAGAGGCUGAUGGAUGUAUAAUACGGGAUCUGAAAAGUAUGUGGGAAACGGAGCUGCAAAUCAAACAAAAGUUGAGAAAUGUGGUAGAGACAAUAGGGAUGAAAAGGAAUACCAGAGUACGAGAAAUGAGGAGGAAAAUAUUGCACAAAUGGUAUCGUACAUCCUGCCAACUAGCAUACUACUAUAAAAAGGGGAGUAGUAAGUGCUGGCAUGGAUGUCAUCAGAAAGGGCGGUUUAUGCACAUGAUGUGGGAAUGUGAAUAUGUACAAUAUUUUUGGCAGACUAUACAAAAUGAGUCAAAUCAAAUACUAGGAAAUGAGUGGGUCAUAGCAAAGGAAAUAGCGGUAUUAGGGAAAAGAGAGGAAAUGGGAAAUAAAGGGGAAAUAAAAGAAGCAAUAAUUGAAUGUGCACAAGCAGUAAUAGUAUUAGGGUGGAAAGAUAAAUCAAAAUGGACAGUAAAUAAAUGGUACCAAUAUAUGGUGGAGCAAAUGGAAUUUGAAAUUAUGAAUGUGAAACUAAAUGUUGUAAAAACUAAUGAAAAUAGAACAAGAGAAAUGGAAGAAAGAUGGAUAAUGGUAAAGAACUAUAUCAUGAAUCAAUCUGGAGAUCAAGCCAUAAGAAAUAAGAUACAAAUGUUAUAUAGUAUAUAGGUUGGAAAUGGAUAAAGAUAAAGAUAUAAAAAUUGUCUCAUAAAGAAAUGAAUAUGUAAAAAGAAAACAAUCCUCGUGUUGGUGGUGGGAAUUGUAAAUGUUUUGUAUGUCUACGGUAUGUAUUUUUUGUGUUUUAAAAAAUAAAAAUUUAUUUUUUAAAAAAAGGGAUAGUUGAAAUUGCCCAUGACUACUAUAUCUCUUCUUUGUGCCUGUUUGGUCAGCUGUUGACAGAAGGCUUCAUCAAGUUCUUCAUCCUGAUUCGGAGAUCUGUAGUAUACACCCACGACAAGAUCUUUUUGAGUCCCAGUUUCCUUGAUUCUUAUCCAGAUGCUUUCAAGCUGGUUUCCCGGAUUACAGUCUUGCAUUUCUUCUGCAACGUAACUGCUUUUGACAUAUAAAGCUACUCCCCCUCCUCUCCCCUUUGUUCUAUUUUUGUGAAAGAGGUUAUAGCCCUCAAUGGCUACAUUCCAGUGAUGGGAGUCAUCCCACCAGGUUUCAGUGAUGCCUAUGACAUCGUAUGUGUGGUGCUGUGCUAAGAGUCGGAGUUCGUCUUGCUUAUUUCCCAUGCUCUGUGCAUUAGUGUAAAGACAUGUAAGCCCCUGUAACCUUUCCCCGAGCUGUUUAUUUGGGAUUAUUGUGCUCUUUGUAAUUGGUCCUUGCUGUGUUUGUGCAGCCCUCCAUUUAGCCUUUUGGCGGUUCCCUGUGGUUGUGGGUAAUAUAGUGUUUUCCAGGCUGUUGUUCCCCUCCCCCAGUUGAUCUAGUUUAAAGUGCGCCUGAUGAGGUUUGUGAGUCUGUGUGCAAAAAGUUGUUUUCCUACUUGUGUGAGAUGCACCCCAUCACUUGCCAGUAGG